AUAGGGUUGGCAGACAUGAAAUGCGCUUAGCUUGAAACUAAGGAUAUGUAGGUUUGACUCCUAUACCCUAUU
rnacentral:tRNA from 1 species